rnacentral:rRNA from 1 species
GUGCCAGCAGCCGCGGUAAUACGUAGGGGGCUAGCGUUGUCCGGAAUUAUUGGGCGUAAAGCGCGUGUAGGCGGUUUGAUAAGUCUGCUGUGAAAGUCGAGGGCUCAACCCUCGAAAGCCGGUGGAUACUGUCAGACUGGAGUACGGAAGAGGCGAGUGGAAUUCCUGGUGUAGCGGUGAAAUGCGCAGAUAUCAGGAGGAACACCAAUUGCGAAGGCAGCUCGCUGGGACGUUACUGACGCUGAGACGCGAAAGCGUGGGGAGCAAACAGGAUUAGAUACCCCUGUAGUCC